UCAAAAUCACAGUGAUCCUCCUGCCUCAGCCUCCCGAGUGCUGGGAUUACAAGUGUGCACCACCAUUCCUGGCAGUCCUGACCAAAGCAGCAAGAUACCUCGUAGCGCAUCAGAAUGCUGUCUUCAGGUGCAACAUGGUACUCAGAAGUGGGAAGCACGUGAAAGGAAUGGAGAUGCAGAUUCAGAGACAGCAGGGCAUCCCACCUUUCUCCACCACCGCCAAUAUCCAGAGGCAGCACCUGGUGAGUCAGGACGUGCCUGAAGGAAGGGCCUCUUCCCAUAAACCUGCAGUAUCUCAAGCUCCUGGAGACUUCUUCUGGAAGAAGAUGAGAAGAGAUGAGAAAAAUUCCAAGAACUGCGGAGCAGAACCCUUGUCUGACUGUAAUCCUGGGAAAAUUGCUUACCCAAUAUGAACUUUCACAUCAACAUCUGGAGAUACAGGACCAGUAACAGGAGAGAGUACCUCAAAGCAUCUUGAAGAUUAGAUACAAUGUGUAAAAGUACUAAUAAAACUAGAAAGCCCUAUAAAAUGUUGAUUAUUGCUAUUAAUACUGGAAAAGGCUUUAACUCCAGAUAACUGACAUGAUCUUUCCCAACUAAACUAAGACUGUGCUCCUGCAGAGGUUUGGUUCUUGUUGGAUAACUGGGGCAAAAGGUCACUUUACAAUAUAAAUAGUAAUAACAAUUGUGAAAUCUUCAUUAAAAUCAGAUCCUCUGCAGUUUUAGUAUUUUAAAAGGUGCUAGAGAUUUUAUUUUUUUUCUUCUGUCUUACCAAUUAAACCCAAGACCUUCACACUGAGAUAUCUCCCCAGAUCUCUUUUAUUUUUAAUUUUGAUACAGCAUCUCAGAGAUCACUAAGUUGCCCCAGUUUGAACUUGAUACCUCUGUCUCAGCCAUCCAGAGUGCUGGGAUUAAAAGCCUGCUCUGCCAUGUCCCCACUACUAUGCUAGAUUUUUGAAGACAUCCCUAUGUGUAAAUUUAGCUAAUUUGAGAUAAAAGCAAUUGAUAGCUAGGCAUGGAGGCAUACACCUGCAAUCCCAGCUCUGGCAGGCUGAUGCAGAUUAUCAAAUUGGAGCCCAGCCUGGGCAACUCAUCAAGGCCCUGUCUCAAAAUAAAAAAUAAAAAUAUACAAAGAAAGAAAGAUAGAAAAGAAAAGAAAGGGAAAAAAAACCUGCAAUGUAGCUCAGUGUGAAGGCCUUGGAUUCAAUAUCUAGUAUGGGUGGGGUGGAUUUAAAACAAACUAAAGACCAACUACCACCAGUACUACUUCUCCUAUACCCUCUUGCUGGUCUACUGUUACAUUCUGAGGUCAAGUCAGGUCCUGUUCAUUGCCUUAACAUCCUAUGAUUUCUAUAUUGAAGAGAGAGAAUUGACAUUCCUUAUGGCAAUCCUGCAAUGUAAGCUAUUUUGAGAAAGAAUGAUUUUUUAAAAGUCUCCUAAAAUUAAAAAUAAAAGCGAAAA
rnacentral:lncRNA from 1 species